rnacentral:lncRNA from 1 species
GCCUAGUGCUACUCUAAUGUGUCAAGCAAAGAAGCUGCAAGGCAGAACGAACUCAGAAUUUAAAUUUUGAGAAGGCAAAUACACGUGCAAAGUACUAAAUUAGUAAUUUAAGAAAUAAAUAAUAGAUUAAUUUUAAUUUCAGAGUGACGAACUUAUAUAAUUAAAACUUAUUAUAAAAUUGUGAUUUUUUAAAAAAAAUUGAGGUGACGAUCGCCCCAACUGACUUUCUUGAGUCCGUCUCUGCUUGUAACAUCUAAUGAGUGUUGUACCUUUGAGUGGGUAUGGGGAGAUAGGAUUAAAUACAAGUUCAUGGAUAUAUACAUGAAUGAUGAUUUUGAUGAUGAGUUGAAAUUUCAGUGUGCACUCACACGGAGGUCGGCACAUUUUUGUACACCUACAAUAAUAGGGUGGCAAAGUGGGGCUGCUUCUAUUGAAUGGUUUCUUGUAUGUAAUUUCCACUGAUACCAAUCAUUCUUUCCCUC